GAUGAACGCUGGCGGCGUGCCUAAUACAUGCAAGUCGAGCGAACAGACGAGGAGCUUGCUCCUCUGACGUUAGCGGCGGACGGGUGAGUAACACGUGGAUAACCUACCUAUAAGACUGGGAUAACUUCGGGAAACCGGAGCUAAUACCGGAUAAUAUAUUGAACCGCAUGGUUCAAUAGUGAAAGACGGUUUUGCUGGCACUUAUAGAUGGAUCCGCGCCGCAUUAGCUAGUUGGUAAGGUAAAGGCUUACCAAGGCAACGAUGCGUAGCCGACCUGAGAGGGUGAUCGGCCACACUGGAACUUAGACACGCUCCACACUCCUACGGGAGGCAGCAGUAGGGAAUCUUCCGCAAUGGGCGAAAGCCUGACGGAGCAACGCCGCGUGAGUGAUGAAGGUCUUCGGAUCGUAAAACUCUGUUAUUAGGGAAGAACAAAUGUGUAAGUAACUAUGCACGUCUUGACGGUACCUAAUCAGAAAGCCACGGCUAACUACGUG
rnacentral:rRNA from 1 species